rnacentral:lncRNA from 1 species
AUGGCGGGCAUAGUGGAUUUCGAAGAGGGAUGGCGCCUCCUGGCAACCAGCCUCGCCAAGCAAAGGAGCAUCAUCGAUGGUAGCAUGAGCAAGAGCUCUUCAGAGGAUGACAACAUGCAGCUCUACAUGUAUGUGUUGCGGUCAAUGAGACAGAUAAAUGGCGAUACUCUAUUGAAAAGGUUGGUUGACAGGUGGCGGAACCACAAGAAAAUUGUCAUAAGUGAGACGAGGUUCUUCUUCUACCUCGACCGUUACUACAUCUCACGGAAGUCACUUGUCCCACUUGAACAACUGAACUUAUGUUCUUUUCGUGAUCAGGUAUACAGUGAGCUCAAAGAUAAAAUAACAAGGACUGUGGUUGACAUGAUUAGUGACGAGAGGGAAGGCAAGGUUAUAGACCAUGCUCUUUUGAAGGAUGUACUUGAUGUGUAUGUCCAAAUUGGGCUUGGCAUGGAGUGUUACAAAGUUGAUUUUGAAAAUGCGUUUCUCGAGAGCACCAGAAAUUACUACUCAAACAAGGCCCAAACUUUGAUUUUGGAGUACAACGGCCCCGAUUCCCCUGAAUACAUGCUUAAGGUAUCAAUUGAGAGUACAUAGAAAUCAUGCA